GGCGGUGUAGCUCAGUGGUUAGAGCAUGCGGCUCAUAUCCGCAGCGUCGCUGGUUCGAGUCCAGCCACCGCCA
rnacentral:tRNA from 1 species